rnacentral:rRNA from 1 species
UACAGAGGGUCCGAGCGUUGUUCGGAUUCACUGGGCGUAAAGGGCGCGCAGGCGGCUUGGCACGUUUGAUGUGAAAGCCCCGGGCUUAACCCGGGAAUGGCAUUGAAUACUGCUGAUCUGGAGGAUCGGAGGGGGGACUGGAAUUCUUGGUGUAGCAGUGAAAUGCGUAGAUAUCAAGAGGAACACCAGUGGCGAAGGCGAGUCCCUGGACGAUACCUGACACUGAGGCACGAAAGCCAAGGGAGCAAACAGG